GAAAUACUCCCUCCGUCCCAAAAUAAGUGACUCAAAAAUGACAAAGUUGAGUCAUUUUUGAGUUACUUAUUUUGGGACGGAGGGAGUACUAG
rnacentral:pre_miRNA from 1 species